AGAGUUUGAUCCUGGCUCAGGACGAACGCUAGCGGCGUGCCUAAGGUAUGCAAGUCGAACGGGGGCUUCGGCCCUAGUGGCGAACGGUCGAGUAACACGUAGACAACCUGCCCGCAAGUGGGGGAUAACAGCUCGAAAGGGCUGCUAAUACCGCAUGUGGUUCCGGCUCACCUGGGCUGGAUACUAAAGAUUUAUUGCUUGCGGAUGGGUCUGCGGCCUAUCAGGUAGUUGGUGGGGUAACGGCCUACCAAGCCGACGACGGGUAGCGGGUCUGAGAGGAUGAUCCGCCGGACGGGGACUGAGACACGGCCCCGACUCCUUCGGGAGGCAGCAAUGAGGAAUAUUGCACAAUGGGCGAAAGCCUGAUGCAGCGACGCCGCGUGGGUGAGGAAGUUCUUCGGAAUGUAAAGCCCUUUUACCGGGGACGAUCAAAGACGGUACCCGGUGAAUAAGCCCCGGCUAACUACGUGCCAGCAGCCGCGGUAAUACGUAGGGGGCAAGCGUUGUCCGGAUUUACUGGGCGUAAAGAGCGCGUAGGCGGACGUUUAAGUGUGGCCUGAAAGCCCCCGGCUCAACCGGGGAUCCGGGUUGCAAACUGGACGUCCUGAGGGGGAUAGGGGAAGGUGGAAUUCCUGGUGUAGCGGUGAAAUGCGUAGAGAUCAGGAGGAACACCCGUGGCGAAGGCGGCCUUCUGGGUCCGCCCUGACGCUGAGGCGCGAAAGCGUGGGGAGCGAACGGGAUUAGAUACCCCGGUAGUCCACGCCGUAAACGAUGAUUACUAGGUGUGUGUGGUAUCGACCCCACACGUGCCGCAGCUAACGCAAUAAGUAAUCCGCCUGGGGAGUACGGCCGCAAGGUUGAAACUCAAAGGAAUUGACGGGGGCCCGCACAAGCGGUGGAGCAUGUGGAUUAAUACGUCACUAACCGUAGAACCUUACCCAGGCUUGACAUCCCGGGAAUCCCCUUGAAAGGGGGGAGUGCUCGCAAGAGAGCCCGGAGACAGGUGUUGCAUGGCUGUCGUCAGCUCGUGUCGUGAGAUGUUGGGUUAAGUCCCGCAACGAGCGCAACCC
rnacentral:rRNA from 1 species